CGGGAUGAACCGGAAGCCGG
rnacentral:siRNA from 1 species